rnacentral:ncRNA from 1 species
AUUCCGGUUGAUCCUGCCGGAGGCCAUUGCUAUUGGAGUUCGAUUUAGCCAUGCUAGUUGUACGAGCUUAGACUCGUAGCGGAAAGCUCAGUAACACGUGGCCAAACUACCCUAUAGAUCAGAAUACUCUCGGGAAACUGAGGCUAAUACUGAAUAACGCUCCCUUGCUGGAAAUGCAGGGAGCCAGAAACGCUCCGGCGCUAUAGGAUGUGGCUGCGGCCGAUUAGGUAGACGGUGGGGUAACGGCCCACCGUGCCGAUAAUCGGUACGGGUUGUGAGAGCAAGAGCCCGGAGAUGGAUUCUGAGACAAGAAUCCAGGCCCUACGGGGCGCAGCAGGCGCGAAAACUUUACACUGCACGACAGUGCGAUAAGGGAACUCCAAGUGCGAGGGCAUAACGUCCUCGCUUUUGUGUAUCGUAAGGUGGUACACGAAUAAGAGCUGGGCAAGACCGGUGCCAGCCGCCGCGGUAAUACCGGCAGCUCAAGUGAUGGCCAAUUUUAUUGGGCCUAAAGCGUCCGUAGCCGGCCAGACAGGUCCGUCGGGAAAUCUGCUCGCUCAACGAGCAGGCGUCCGACGGAAACCCGCUGGCUUGGGACCAGAAGACUCGAGGGGUACGUCUGGGGUAGGAGUGAAAUCCUGUAAUCCUAGACGGACCACCGAUCGCGAAAGCACCUCGAGAGGAUGGAUCCGACGGUGAGGGACGAAAGCUAGGGUCACGAACCGGAUUAGAUACCCGGGUAGUCCUAGCUGUAAACGAUGCUCGCUAGGUGUGGCACAGGCUACGAGCCUGUGCUAUGCCGUAGGGAAGCCGAGAAGCGAGCCGCCUGGGAAGUACGUCCGCAAGGAUGAAACUUAAAGGAAUUGGCGGGGGAGCACUACAACCGGAGGAGCCUGCGGUUUAAUUGGACUCAACGCCGGACAUCUCACCAGCAUCGACAAU